GGUCCUGUUGAGGUCCUCCAGGACUGCGUCCUUGAAGACAUAGAGGACGAGGAGCCCCUGACCACCACGGCAGCCCCAAGUCUCUAAUGCCAGUAGGUUUGUGUACGCCCAUCUGACCCCAGCCACGUAGUGCCGAUGUUCCAUCUGAAGUGUGACUGGUGUUUCAAGUGCACGUGAGAACCCAAGAUCUUCCGAAAGCCCAGCGUUGGCUCAGAGGCUGUCGGGGAGUCAGUGCAGUGGGAUCCACCGUUUGAGCUCUGCAUCAAUUAUGGUUUCUUUCCUCUGGUCUUCUGCCAACAAGAUGUCAGCAGCUCUCUUUACUGUGGCCUCAGGAAAACAGCCCGGAUUCUGCAAUCACUGACUCACUGAUGAAAAAUCCAGAUGGAAAGAAAGGUGGGGCUUUCCUGCUGCCUGCAGUUUGGAGAUCUGCUUCCAGCUUCCUGCUGGGCACAAGGUGGGGCAGUGGAAGGAGCAGUUUUUGCAGGUGAAGAACCCGGGCCUCAUUGUACAGUCCCUGGAGGAGCCAUGUCCCUCCAGCCUCUUCCACCCAGGAGGAUGACCCAGCAGCAGCUGAGCCCAUUCGGAAAACCCGCCAUGCCCAUGCACGGCAGGGCUGCGUCCAUCUCAAGCAUCCACAGGCACCACUGCCAGUGCACUCCCAGCCAGCCCCUCUGUCCUUCUAGCCCCACUGAGAGGCUGCUGGGGGAAGAGUCCCACCUCACAGCAAGGAAGGAGUGCCUGUCUUUGUCCAAAAUAGGGGCGAUGCUUCAUUGAUUUAUUUUAUUCCAAAUUCAUUCAUGUAUGAAAAUAUGGCAAUAUACAUAACAUGUGAUACAUACUGUUUCCUGGCAAGAUAGGGUCAGUCACGAAUGGCAGCCUCAGCUUAUAAACAAACCGGGAGAGAGCCUGCCCUCAGCACCGGUUCUUCCUUCUUCUAGGACUAAGAAUUUUCCAAUUGCCAGCCGAAAUAGACUAGGGAGACCCACGCUCCAGGGAAAGCUCCUGCAUGGCCUACAGGUGUCCUCACCCUCCCUGCGGGGCUUUGACUGGGCUACAGUUUCCCCUCUGUUUUUCUAAAGCAACCUGUUCUGUAAUUAGGAUACAGAAGUGCCGGGAAGGGAAGAGUGUGGUCCCUUUAAAUGAUACAAAAUGGGAAGGGCAGGGCUGGGUAGAGGAGGGUGAGGUCCCUGGUAGGGCUCCACCCCCAUGGACCUAGGUGAGGACAAGCACUCCUGCCUUUGUGCAGAAAUGUUGCAUUUCCCAAGACCACCCUGGCCCACCACGUUGAGAGAAGCAUAUCAGUGGAGCAACACAGAGGUGGCUGAAUGUUGAGAGGGAUGCCCUGUCAGGUGCCAGCAUGCGGUCAGGCCACUGGCAGAAGCAGAAUGACGUGGAGUUUGGCCAGAGUGGUCGAAGAAGAGUCCCACCACUGGGGAAGGGUUGGGCCGCCAAUGUCCCCCCUCUAGGGGAAAGCCAUCUCCCUGCUUGCUUCCCGAUCUGCUGAGAGCUUCUCCCACUCAAUAAAACCUUGCACUCAUUCUCCAAGCCCACGUGUGAUCCGAUUCCUCCCCUACACCAAGGCAAGAAACCCUGGGAUUGAGAAAGCCCUCUGUCCUUGUGACAAGGUAGAGGGUCUAAU